UACGUAGGGAGCAAGCGUUGUCCGGAAUCAUUGGGCGUAAAGCGCGCGUAGGCGGCCCUGUAAGUCCGUUGUGAAAGUCAAAGGCUCAACCUUUGAAGCCGAUGGAUACUGCAGGGCUAGAGUCCGGAAGAGGCGAGUGGAAUUCCUGGUGUAGCGGUGGAAUGCGCAGAUAUCAGGAGGAACACCAAUAGCGAAGGCAGCUCGCUGGGACGGUACUGACGCUAAGGCGCGAAAGCGUGGGGAGCGAACAGG
rnacentral:rRNA from 1 species